rnacentral:lncRNA from 1 species
GAAUUACAAUAGUUCCUUUUCGGGGCCUAGGUAUUUCGGAACUUGAACAAAUGGGGAAUUUUAGAGGCACUGAAAUAUUUUAUCCCUUUCCAAAAUCCCCAUCAAGUUUUGCUACCAACACAAGUGCUGUGAUAGCUAAUUUAUACACUAUUAAUUAAUUGUCAUUUACUCAUUUAUUUAGCAAAUAUUUCUGAGUAACUUAUUCUGUGCCAGGCACUAUUCUAGGUUCUUGGGGAUGCUUCACUGAGUGAAAACAAAACAAAACAAAAAAUUCCCUGCCCUCAUGGAGCUUACAUGCUGGUGUGGCAAACAGGCAAUAAUCAGAUAAUUAAUACAUGUAUAGCAUAGUAGAUACUGAUAAAUAUCAAGAAAAAAGUGAAUCAGGGAAGGGGGAUUAAAAAUGCUGAGAAGGGGGAUACUAAUAUUUUAAGUAUAUUAGAAUUGGAGCAAAGACCUGAAAAAGGAAGGGUAUGAGUAAUAUAGCCAUCUAAAGGACAAUCACUCCAGACAAGUGCUGUCCAACAGACUGGCCAUGAGUCUCAUGUAAACACCACAUUGGACAACACAGGUGUGAAAAUUCUCCAUCAUCGCAGAAAGUUCUAAUGGACAGUGCUGCUCCCAACAGAAAGAAUGGCAAAUACACAGGUCCUGAAGAGGCGGACAACAGAAGAAGUAACAAGGAGGUCAGUAUACCUGUAACUGGGUACAAGUGGGAGAGGGAAAUAGGAGACAGAAAGUCAAUGAGGGGCCAGAGUAUGUAGAAUCUCUCGCAGGUCCUUCCUGGACUUCAAGAUAUUAUUCUGAGCAAGAUGGGAAGCCUUUGGAAUGUGUUGAGUGGAAGGGUAAUGUGCUGUACUUUGCACUGUGUCAAGGGCACUCUGACUGCUGUUUUGAGAAUUAAGAGGCCAGAGCAGAAGUUAAAAAAACCAUUGUGAUCAUCCAGGAAGAGGAAGAGCACUGUCCACCAGUAAAGAGCAUAAACUGUGAGAAGUGGUAGAUUCUAGAUUGAUACUGGAGUAUGAUAAAGGCAAAUAACCCACCCAGGGAUACUUAUUACAAUGUAGGUUCUAGACACCCACUCACAGAAAUUAUGAUUUGGCAGAAUUAUUAUGGUGCAGAAAAAUCUACAUUUUUUUUCUCCCAUGAGAAUUCUGAUUCUCGUGCCCAACUCAUUCCCCAACAUAUAUUUGCCCUGCAUCCUCUGAAAGCUUUGAAAUACAUUUGUUUGGUGGCUUGUUUAACAUUAAAUUUAUAACUGGUGAACACUAGAUGCUGGUGAUGCAAGCAGUGUAGUCAUCAUUGGAGGUAGUAGAGACCCACCAAAUGCCUCUUUAAUAUCAUUGUGAAGAAAUGAAUCCUUGACGGAAGUUUUUGGUUUUGCUUUCUAUUUUUUGUUGUUAUUGUUGUUGUUUGGACGACAUUUAUACAUUCCCUGGAAUUAAGCUAAAAGGCACAUAACGGAUGCUUAAGCCAAGGUGAGAUGCCAUUUCCACUUUUUUAAAACAACAUAGAAGCUACCAUUUAGCACACACAGGUUAUGAACACACAUAUCUUCUAAUCUGAAAUGUGUUAUAUUUUCUCUACCUGAAUGAUAAGAACCCAUUCCAUGAUCUAUUUUCUUUUUUCAUGAAGAGUCCAAUCUACCACUUUCCAUGAUAUGAUUUCCAUAUUCAGUAUCAACAAGUAAUUAUAAAAUGACAAACAAAUAUCCACAUUUUUAUAUUGAGAUUAAGGGAAAUAGUUUUUUCAGAUACAAGUAAGUCCAGAUAAAAAUUUCCGUUCUUUUUUCUUUCUUAUUUUUCCUUCAUUGCCUAGGAAGAUAAGAUGGAGUCAGACUUCAAGGAGGAAAUUGGAGAAAAUGCAUUUAAGAGAAAGAAAAAAUGAGGAUCAAUCAGGCUGAAGUGAAUAGUUACAAUUUGCCUACAGCCCGGCAUAACUACUAUCAUGAUCUAACUAUGGGGAAAAAUGUUUUAAAGUACAAUUUUCACAUAAAUCAAGUAGCACAUGAAGAGGAAAAAUAAACCUAAUAUUGCCUUUAGGAGUAUCCGCAUAUUAGUGAAGGACUAUGUAAAGGUGUCUGAAAUUUCUAUUUCAAUAAAACUUCUCUAAAAGUUUAUUAUUCAUGAGUUGUUCUUUUGCUUCAAACAACACUCUAAAUACACCUUAGAGAGAAUAAACUCAUUUUAAUCGCAAUCAUUUUAAUGUAAAUUGAUUGAUCAGAUCACUUUUCUUCUUGGCAAAAUUCUGUUUUAAAGUAUUUUAAAAGGCUUUAAAGUUUUUAGCAUCAGACGCUUAAAAAGAAAGAGGUGGGAAUGAAGACAAUAACUUUUACCGUUUGUUUUUUUUUUAAGGGGCCAGUUCAGAGAGCAGCAAGAAUCUGCAUAGAAGUAAUCAUUUCUGGAAAUCCAGAUUACUUAGUGGCAUCUGCUGAAACACAGAUGAGUUAAAAUACUUGUUAUGAAGAGGGCCUGUACCAAUGAUUUUGAUCUUUCAUUAAAAAAGGAAAUUUCAAGCUCUUAGAAACAAAGAAAAAAUAAACGAGUGUUACAAGAAUGUUUUAAGCAUUCCGUAGAUGGCUCAAGAAUAGUAUGUAAGUAUUUCUCCACAAAGAUAUUCCACUGAAAUUUUGGUAAGCAACAGUGGAAAUAGGUUUAAACAUUCCAGGUGACUCAAGUUCAAUAUAAUGACAACACUAGUUAGAGUUUUCAAGCACUUUCUCCGAUAAGCACUUUAUAUGCAUUGUGUCAUUUAACAAUUGCAUUGACUUUAUGAAGUAGACAUGAUUAUACCCAUUUUCAUAAAGAAGAAACUGAAGCACAAGGUCAAACAAUGAGUAAAAAGCCAACUCAAUACUGCAGUCCAACUUAUAGAAUUAAGUUGCCUUCUAGCUUGGAUUCUGGGAGAGAGUUGAUAAAGGGCACU